UACAGAGGUGGCAAGCGUUGUUCGGAAUUACUGGGCGUAAAGGGUGCGUAGGCGGUCCGAUAAGUCCCGUGUGAAAUCCCUCGGCUCAACUGAGGAAUGGCACGGGAAACUGCCGGGCUUGAGUUCGGGAGAGGGAAGCGGAAUUCCGGGUGUAGCGGUGAAAUGCGUAGAUAUCCGGAGGAACACCGGUGGCGAAGGCGGCUUCCUGGACCGACACUGACGCUGAGGCGCGAAAGCUAGGGGAGCAAACGGG
rnacentral:rRNA from 1 species